UCUUAUUUCGAGAAGCAGAGGGACUUGGCCCGAUGAAGCUUCAGCAAUCGGCUUUUAAAGCACGGUGCUAAUACCAACGACUCGUCGAAUAAU
rnacentral:ncRNA from 1 species